AGAAAACCUGUUCACUGCUGCAGGUUAUGGAUCAUCAGUUCAUUCAACUGUUCCUUAGAUGACGUGGUUUUCACUUCCAUUAUCAUGUGUUGCUGUUAUCCCACUGCUGAGCAGGACACAGUCCCCAGUGAAGAGUGAUCGGUGG